CCCUAUUAUUUUGGAGUGUUAAUUGUGUUGUGCCUGAGUAGUAUUAGUUAUGUUCUUGAAACUUAAAGAAUUUGGCGGUAUCUCAUUCCUUCCAGAGGAAUCUGUCUCGUUAUCGAUAGUCCGCGUUGGACCUUACUUAGUUGCUUUGGUUUGUAUACCGCCGUUUAUUGAUUAUCUUUUUAGAGUUAGUUUAAUUUUCUGGUUUCUUUAUUUUGAUUUAUUUCAGGUCAAGGUGCAGCUUGUUUCUAAGUGAAUGAUGGAUUACAUUGUUAUUUGUUUAUUGGAUUGUUGGUUUUAAUAUUGGCAUGAAAUUGGAUUUGGUUGUAAUGAUUUGUAGGUUGUUAUUGUGAUAGUUGGUUCUGAGAUAUGUACACAUCGCCCGUCGCUCUC
rnacentral:rRNA from 1 species